UCACAGUCUUCUUUCGAGCUUCAGUG
rnacentral:piRNA from 1 species